rnacentral:tRNA from 1 species
GGGGCUGUAGCUUAGCCUGGCUGGAGCACUCGACAAUUAGGGUGAAACUGAUAGCUAAGGUUAGAGAUCGAGAGAUAAAAAAACUUACUCGAAGUCGGAAGUUCAAAUCUUCCCAGCCCCA